GAUGAACGCUGGCGGCGUGCCUAAUACAUGCAAGUCGAGCGAACAGACCAGGAUCUUGCUCCUCUGACGUUACCAACGGACGGGUGAGUAACACGUGGAUAACCUAUCUAUAAGACUUGGAUAACUUCGGGAAACCGGAGCUAAUACCGGAUAAUAUAUUGAACCGGAGGGGUCUGUAGUGAAAGAGGGUUUGGCUGUCACUUAUAGAUGUAUCCGCUCCGCAGUAGCUAAUUGGUAAGGUAACGGCUUACCAAGUCAGCGAUGGGUAACCGACCUGAGAGCGGGAAGGCGCACUCUGGAGCUGAGCCACCGUCUAGGCUCCUACGGGAGGCCGAGGCAGCGAAUGGUGGGAAAAGGGGGGAAGACUGAAGAAGCGAUGCAGCGUGAGUGAUGCAGGUCUUCGGAUCGUAUGACUGUGUUAGUAGUGAAGAACAAAUGUGUACGUAACUAUGCACGGCUUGACGGUAGCUAAUAAGAAAGCAACGGCUAACUACGUG
rnacentral:rRNA from 1 species